GAAAGUAUGAUGAAUUCUAGACAAUGGAGCAUCAAUCAUCACACUGAAGACUAAGAUCUGGGUCAAAUCCAAUUAUUUGUAGUGGGUAAGAGGGCUGCAAACUGUGAGAAGCAUGGAGAACCUUUAUUACCUUGGAGUUACAGGAUAAGCAGAUGUUUUCUGCUCAGUUUAAAAUGAAUGGACAAAUAAGGAAUAGAUCCCCUUGUUAUCUUGAGAUAGACAACUUGCUGCAGAGCAAAAACUGUAUGGAAUAGACACACACAGACCAACAAAAAACAAAAGCAGCAACAUAUAUUAAAAAUGCUAGAUAAACAUCCACAAAAAUCCCCCUAAAAUUUUAUCUAUAGGACAAAGCAAAACUCAAUUAUUUGAUGGAAAAUAAAUCACAGAAUAUGUUCUUUGCUGUAAAUGAUGGUACUGCUAAAUGUUUUUUUUUUUCAAAGUAAAAUAAGCUAUUUAUCUUUUUUUCUUUUUUUUUUUUUUUCCCACUACCACCAGCAAACUUUUUCUGUGUGAAGUCUGAGUUAAUUCAAAUUCAGUUCGUUGGCAAAAACUUCAUAUUCCAUACUCCACCAGUAGAAUCAACCUGAAUAAAGACAAGAAAUAAAAGGAUUUCUUGCUAGUUAUGAAUAUGAACUUUAUUAUGCAAUUUCAAGAUGAAGACAGCUCAAAUUUGUUGCUAUCUCCAAUUGUUACAGAAAACUGGCUAAGCGAAGCAUACUUUCCUUCACAUUGCAAAAUCAUCAACAGACCUUCUAGGAGGUGGGCAACUUCAUGUUUAAACUGCUUAUUGUUGGCACAUAUGAAGACCAUUCGCGUUAGAAAAUAAUGGAAAUAAGAAGAUUACAAGAACAGUUAUUCCCAUAUAAAUAUACACAAAACAUUAUGUACUCCCAAAUUAGGACUUGUUCAGAGAUAAUUCAUAUUAAUUCAUUAAUCCAUCUGUAGUUUUCUCUUUUGGUCUUUCACAGUUCUAAUGAAAUGAACAAUGGGUGUUUUACACAAUGUUAUCUCAAAAACACAUUGCCACUUACAGUUUCUUUCUUUGAGCUUUUGGAAUUUUUAAGCCUCUCUCUCUCUCUGUCUCUCUCACGUUCCUCCCUCCCCCCCAUUUUCUUGAUAUUAGCAUCUAACCCCAAUGGAGCAGCGUCUGAAGUCUAGUGGGAUCUCCAGGACUGUGUCCCAUGGCACAAGCCACCUCAAUUUACAGAACAGAUUUGUGUCCUAAGGAAAACAGUAAGUUUGAGGUUUAGGUAUUGACUUCCAGGUGUCUACAGGUACACUAGAUGUUUUAACUCUUAUUAAGUGAGAAUCUAGUCAAUGCAGUCAGUGAAAAUCUAGUCAAUGCAGUCAGGAAAUUCAAAAGUUCAAUUAAAUGAGCAUCCAAGAGCUGGUUAACCAAAUCUCUCUGCAGGCUCCACAGGCCAUAUUGACCAGACUUCCACUGACUAUAAUAAUGGGACCUUCCAUACAUAAAGACACCUAAAUUCACAUUUUGAUAUAGAACUGAAUCAUGGCCAUAAUCUAUAAAUAAAAUUUCUGUGUGACACUGAAAACUGCA
rnacentral:lncRNA from 1 species